rnacentral:lncRNA from 1 species
CUGAUAUCAAUGAAUUAAUUUCCGCUGCAUUGAAGGUCAGGAUUGAUAAAGAUAAUACGAUUUCAAACACAAGCCAUGCUUUAAAACAUAUACGAGAAAGAAACUUAUUAAACUCAUCACGAAAUCUUGUUGUGUUAUUCUCUAACGCAAUAUCGAUCAAUCUUGAUGAAAUCGACCUGGAGAUUCAAUUAUCAAAACAACAAGACAUUCACAUCUUUAGGGUAACAGCAGGGGAAGAUUGUAACAAGGACACCCUUGCUGGUGUUUUAAUGGAUCCUAGCUUUAUGUUUUAUGUUGACGAUGCCAAUUUCACGUCCUUAGGGUC